GAAGAGCUGGGGAGAGAAGGGAAGGGAGAAGUCUGUGUCAUGGGAACUGGAAAGGUCUUCGGUCAUUUUGGUCUUGGAUUUGCCAUUCACUAGACCAUAACAGGGACGACCCUUCUCUCAACUUUCAUUGCUUCACUUUCAAGGAGGUAGGUGUCCAGUUUUAAAACACAAAUUACCAAGAUGCUAUAAAGAUCACCAGUGAUCAGGCUGCGAGGAGGCACGUGGGUGCAGCAGAACCAGAGAUGUCUGCAAGUUCAAUCAAGUCUGAUUCAACAGUCUCUAAAGUAGAAACAAGAGCGGAUCCAGAAAUACCAGCCAUUGCCUCUCAUGAUGUUGACUCUCAAGCCAAAAUAAACCAGACUGAAUGAACUUUCUUGUCAUAUUUGA